rnacentral:rRNA from 1 species
UACGAGGGGGGCAAGUGUUGUUCGGAAUCACUGGGCGUAAAGGGCGCGUAGGCGGAUGUUUAAGUUGGAUGUUUAAAACCGGGGCCUAACCUCGGAGCGGCAUCCAAAACUGGGCAUCUUGAAUAGGUCAGAGGCUGGUGGAAUUGGAGGUGUAGCGGUGGAAUGCGUAGAGAUCUCCAAGAACACCUAUUGCGAAGGCAGCCAGCUGGGACCAUAUUGACGCUGAGGCUCGAAAGCAUGGGGAGCAAACAGG